GACGAACGCUGGCGGCGUGCCUAACACAUGCAAGUCGAACGGAGCUUUUAUGGAAUGCGACUUCGGUCAAAUGAAGUUUAAGCUCAGUGGCGGACGGGUGAGUAACGCGUGAGCAACCUGCCUUUUCAGAGGGGGGACAACAGUUGGAAACGACUGCUAAUACCGCAUAACAUACAUUUAAGGCAUCUUUUAUGUAUCAAAGAUUUAUCGCUGAAAGAUGGGCUCGCGUCCGAUUAGGUAGUUGGUGGGGUAACGGCCUACCAAGCCGACGAUCGGUAGCCGGACUGAGAGGUUGAACGGCCACAUUGGGACUGAGACACGGGCCCAGACUCCUACGGGAGGCAGCAGUGGGGAUAUUGCACAAUGGGGGAAACCCUGAUGCAGCAACGCCGCGU
rnacentral:rRNA from 1 species